rnacentral:rRNA from 1 species
UCGCCUACGGGACGCAGCAGUGAGGAAUAUUGGUCAAUGGGCGCAAGCCUGAACCAGCCAAGUCGCGUGAGGGAUGACGGUCCUAUGGAUUGUAAACCUCUUUUGUCGGGGAGCAAGGCCCGCCACGUGUGGCGGGAAGGAGAGUACCCGAAGAAAAAGCAUCGGCUAACUCCGUGCCAGCAGCCGCGGUAAUACGGAGGAUGCGAGCGUUAUCCGGAUUUACUGGGUUUAAAGGGUGCGGAGGCGGGAGGGUAAGUCAGCGGUCAAAUGUCGGUGCUCAACCCCGGCCCGCCGUUGAAACUGGC